GUCCUUGCCAAAGUGUGUGUGAAAAAGAAACACUCACGUGAACCCUGAAAGCUGGUAAGGCGGAAGCCAGAGGCUCGAGGUGGACGGACGCAGCAGCUCCUGAGGCAGGGAGGCCGUGAACUCCCAGCUCCACAGGGAAUUAUCACUAUGUCAGGAAAAGUAGAUCGUGAGCGCAGGCACAGGAUGUCUCUGGGAAGACCAAUGAAAGGCACAAUGGCUGCUUCCUGGAGAGGAGCUGAACCCUCAGGGAUAGAAGUGGAAGGAGUCUGACUUCCCACUGUACACCUUUUAACAUUUUUGAAAUGGUAUGACUGUGUUAUCCAAUUAAAGUGUUUUUAAAUCUGA